UCUUUCAAUCAACUUUUUACUUAACUCUUUUACUUUUGGAUGGUAGUGUUUAUAGUAGUGAGGGCAUUAAUGUGGAAAUUAUUCUAUUUUCAGUCAGGAGAAAAAUCCCAAAUCUGGCCAAAACUCCAGUAAUUCUGACAGAAAUUGAAGUGAAUUCUGAGCUUCAGUCUCUGAAGGGAUGAAAGGAUGUCGAAUCACAACAUCAUGUGUGAUUCCCUGUGAUCUGUGCUAGUGUGAGGCUAGAGACUGGAUUAUUCUGGGUGGUAAUAAAGGAUCAGUGUCUGUGGGGUGACACAGGGCAAGACACAAGCGUGAAGGAUGCUGCUGGGCCCUGAAACAAAUGAAUAAUAAUGAAAAACAUAAUCAUGAAUAUGGAGACAAAGCAGAUGCAAGAUGAAACCCAUGUAUAAACAUUCCUGAAGAAUUAUGUUGUUUUCACAAAUCUAAGAAGAUCAAGUGAAGAUGAAUUAGGUCAGCUGUAAAUAUCCUUGAAAAUAUUUAAAAGUCUCACAAGAAGAAUAACACAGCAAUCAGACAGCCCAGAAAGGAAAACAUGACUCUACAUCUGUUUAAGACUAUAUAGAUUAUGAUAGCAGCCUUCAUAAUGCACACGGGUCAUAUAAGUUAAGCUAAGGUGAGUUUCUGUGGAGAUUAACGUGAACUUAUCUGUUAACUCUGCCAUUUGCUUGGACUCUAGGGAAGUUUUGAAGGCGUGGUUCGAGGUGAAUGAUGUCCUGACGUUUGUGUGACUUUGUAUAGGGAUUUUGGAGCUGACAGAUAGAUUUGUCUUCACAAAGGAGUAAGCUGUUUAAACAGAUGAAAGACAGGGCCAAUGUGUCAUGCGCGCCGACUAGUGUGUGCGUGUUUGUGCGAAUAUUAAAGAUUAAAGAUGCACACAGCUGUAUGUAUGAAGAAUGAACUUCAUGAGGAAAAGUACACAAGAUUAAUACAGUUUGUAUGUGUGUGUGGUUCAGUUAUUCCCUUCGUUAUGAGGACAAAAUGUCCCGACAAAGAUGGCAAUAUCCGAAGUCCUUGUGGUGACAAUGAGAAAAACAGUUUAUUAAUCAUACAGAAUGAUGUUUUUUUGAAAAUGUAAACAUGCAGAGAGCUUUCUGUGAUGGGUAGGUAGGGUUAGGGGAUAGA